ensembl:snRNA U6 U6 spliceosomal RNA
GUGCUGGCUCCAGCAACAUGUAUACUAAAACUGGAAUGAUACAGCGAAGAUUAGCACAUCCCCUGCGCAAGGAGGACACGCAAAUUCAUGAAGCGUUUCGUAUUUUU